rnacentral:rRNA from 1 species
UACGUAGGGUGCAAGCGUUGUCCGGAAUUAUUGGGCGUAAAGAGCUCGUAGGCGGUUUGUCGCGUCUGCUGUGAAAACUCGGGGCUUAACUCCGGGCCUGCAGUGGGUACGGGCAGACCAGAGUGCGGUAGGGGAGACUGGAAUUCCUGGUGUAGCGGUGAAAUGCGCAGAUAUCAGGAGGAACACCGGUGGCGAAGGCGGUUCUCUGGGCAUUACCUGACGCUGAGGAGCGAAAGCGUGGGGAGCAAACAGG